rnacentral:rRNA from 1 species
GAUGAACGCUGGCGGCGUGCUUAACACAUGCAAGUCGAACGGAAAGGCCCUGCUCUUGCGGGGUGCUCGAGAGGCGAACGGGGGUGUAACACGUGAGUAACCUGCCCUUGACUGUGGGAUAACUUCACGAAACUGGGGCUAAUAUCGGAUAUGAUCUCCUGCUGCAUGGUGGGGGUUGGAAAGUUUCGGCGGUUGGGGAUGGACUCGCGGCUUAGCAGCUUGUUGGUGGGGUAGUGGCUUACCAAGGUUUUGACGGGUAGCCGGCCUGAGAGGGUGACCGGCCACAUUGGGACUGAGAUACGGCCCAGACUCCUACGGGAGGCAGCAGUGGGGAAUAUUGCACAAUGGGCGGAAGCCUGAUGCAGCAACGCCGCGUGCGGGAUGACGGCCUUCGGGUUGUAAACCGCUUUCGCCUGUGACGAAGCGUGAGUGACGGUAAUGGGUAAAGAAGCACCGGCUAACUACGUG